UACACUGUGUUGUUGAGCUCCCUUUGU
rnacentral:piRNA from 1 species